rnacentral:rRNA from 1 species
AUGAUUAAUGCUUUGAUGUUGUACAUGAAUCUGGAACAAGAGGAAGAACCGAGGAUUCUUCAAGAAGCUGCUUCUAUUCGUGCACAAUGGCGUCGUAGUCAAGUAAGAGAAAUGGAUUUUCGAAAACCUCAAGCACAUGGUGUCCUGGGAAUUCCUGGCUAUGUACGGUUCACCUUCCGUACUCGAAGAUAUGUCGACCUGCUAGGUCAUUAUCAGCAAAUAUGA